GACGAACGCUGGCGGCGUGCCUAAUACAUGCAAGUAGAACGCACAGUUUAUACCGUAGCUUGCUUCACCAUAGACUCGGAGUUGCGAACGGCUCAGUAACGCGUAGCUAAUCUGCCUGGUAGCGGGGGAUAACAACUGGAAACGAUAGCUAAUAUCGCAUAAUCUUGAUUAUUGCAUGAUAAUUGAUUGAAAGACGCUAUUGCAUCACUACCAGAUGGACCUGCGUUGUAUUAGCUAGUAUGUGAGGUUACGGCUCCACCAGGGGACGAAACAUAGCCGACCUGGGAAGGGGGACGGCCACCCUGGGAAUGAGAAACGGCCCCGACCCCUUCGGGGAGCAACAAGAAGGGAUCUUCGGCAAUGGACGAAAGGCUGGACGAGGAACGCCGGGUGGGGGGAGAAGGGUUUCGGAUCGGAAAGCCCUGUUGUAAGGGGAGAACGGGUGUGAGAGUGGAAAGUGCACACUGUGACGGUACCUUACCAGAAAGGGACGGCUAACUACGUG
rnacentral:rRNA from 1 species